rnacentral:lncRNA from 10 species
CCUAGCAAAAGGGUCCUGUAUUAUACAAAUCUUACAGAAAUCUCCAAGGCCUCUCAUCACAUCUCCAGGAGAUCUACAUCUGUGUCUCUUAUAUGUGGCCAAAGAGGCUAUCCUUGACUAACUCUGGGUCACUGGGAUGCCUAUUUUCCCCAUACCACCUUAUUAUUUGGAUACUUUACCAGAACGGGUAGGAAGUCUGCUGGUCAGAUAUAGAUCAUAGUUAUCACAGUCAACAGCAGUCUAUGUGGAUUCUUGGUGGCAUUUGACACAGCCACUUUCACUUUGCUUAAAUACUUUUAUCUCUUACUUUCUAUGACAUCAUAGUCUCCUGGUUGUCCACUUUCCUUAAUGGUUCUCUGCCAUGCAGGUACCCAUUCCAGGGAGUCCCUGGUUCCCAAAGUCAUCCUGAUUUUCACUCACAAGCUACCCUUAAUAUUUAAACAAAUAGGCUGGAAACUCUGUCUCUAGGCUUUUGGGAAGGGCCCAUAGGAGAAUGACUGGGUUUCUCAUUAAUUGAUUAGAAGGUACAUUGUUAAGGUAACAGCUGCUGUAACAAAUCAGCCCAAAUAAAUAAUGGUUCAAAGACAAUAGUUGUUCUUUUGUUUCA